GGUAGGAGAAGGCUCUGGAAAGUGCCGCCAUAGUGGGUGAUAGCCCCGUAGCUGUAAAAUGAAGACCUUUUCGAGUAGGGCGGGACACGUGAAAUCCUGUCUGAACAUGGGGGGACCACCCUCCAAGCCUAAGUACUCCUUAAUGACCGAUAGUGAACAAGUACCGUGAGGGAAUGAUGAAAAGAACCCCGAUGAGGGGAGUGAAACAGAUCCUGAAACCGGAUGCCUAC
rnacentral:rRNA from 14 species